rnacentral:rRNA from 1 species
CCUACGGGAGGCAGCAGUGGGGGAUAUUGCACAAUGGGGGGAACCCUGAUGCAGCGACGCCGCGUGGGUGAAGGAGGGCUUCGGCGUGUAAAGCCCUAUCGGCAGGGAAGAAGCAAGAGGGAACCGGACUAAGAAGCCCCGGCUAACUACGUGCCGGCAGCCCCGGUAAUACGGAGGGGGCGAGCGUUAUCCGGUUGCACUGGGUGUAAAGGGAGCGUAGACGGCCAAGCAAGCCGGGGGUGAAAGCCCGGGGCCCAACCCCGAGACUGCCCUUGGAACUGCAUGUCUGGAGGGCGGGAGGGGCAGGCGGAAUUCGUGGUGUAGCGGUGAAAUGCGUAGAUAUCAGGAGGAACACCGGCGGCGAAGGCGGCCUGCUGGACCGCGACUGACGUUGAGGCUCGAAAGCGUGGGGAGCGAACAGGAUUAGAUACCCCAGUAGUC